AAACCAACAGGAGAAAAUAACCCUGAACUUCUAGCCACUGUUGCAAGAAAACAAGAUCCCUCAGGCGAGUCGGUUCCUCCCCUCCCUUCUUCUAAAGAAGAGAUGGUAAGCGUGCGGGGGGUCUUUCUUCCCGCAAAUCCACUCAAAGGCGCCAAUCUUGCGCAGUAACAAGGAUAGAUUCUCAAGCCUCGGGAACUUUGCAGCCAUGCAUAGAUUGCUCUGCUUCUUCCCCUCCAAAUCGAACCCCCUCGGAAAUCCCUUCUCGAAAACCACCUCGCCCUUCCGAAAUCUCCCUCUAUUCCUCACCGAAAACCCUACCCGCUCACCGCUCCGGCCAGCCACUGGCUUCGGACUCCGUCCGAGCGUCCCAAUCCCUCCGAACCGAUCCUCUCUAUCUCGAUUUCAUCCAGCUAGCAUCAAUUUGGCGAGUUUCAUCCAUUCAACCAGAGGAACGAGGAGGUUCAGCGGAGAAUCGGGCGGCCGGGAGGCUCUGCACUACGAUGUGGUUAUCGUCGGGGCGGGGCCCGCGGGGCUGUCGGCGGCGAUACGGCUCAAGCAGCUGUGCCGGGAGAGGAACACCGAUCUCUCGGUCUGUGUCUUAGAGAAGGGCUCCGAAGUGGGUGCUCAUAUCAUAUCAGGGAAUGUCUUUGAGCCUCGUGCAUUGGAUGAACUGAUGCCUCGUUGGAGAGAUGAGGGGGCCCCAAUUGAAGUUCCUGUUUCUCAUGACAAGUUUUGGCUUCUUACAGAGAAUCGUGCAUUGUCACUUCCAUCCCCUUUCGAUAAUAAGGGAAACUAUGUGAUAAGUUUGAGCCAGCUGGUUCGUUGGAUGUCAACUAAAGCUGAGGAGUUGGGUGUAGAAAUUUAUCCAGGUUUUGCUGCUAGUGAGAUUCUGUAUGAUGAAAAUGACAAGGUUGUUGGAGUUGCAACUAAUGAUGUGGGUGUUGCUAAAGAUGGUUCAAAAAAGGAAACUUUUCAACGUGGAGUAGAGCUGAAAGGACAUAUUACACUCCUUGCUGAAGGCUGUCGAGGUUCCUUAUCAGAGAAAAUUAUAAGAGAUUAUAAACUACGAGACAAAGGACAAGGACAACAUCAAACCUAUGCUAUUGGAAUAAAAGAGGUCUGGGAAAUUGAGGAAGGGAAGCAUGUACCAGGAUCUGUGCUACACACAAUAGGAUGGCCAUUGGAUAUGAAGACAUAUGGAGGAUCUUUUUUAUACCACAUGAACAAUAGGCAGAUAUCUAUUGGACUGGUUAUUGCCUUAAAUUAUCAGAAUCCUUAUCUGAGCCCUUUUGAUGAAUUCCAGAAAUUUAAGCACCACCCUGCCAUCAAAUCACUUUUGGAAGGUGGAAGUGUUCUCCAGUAUGGUGCCCGCGCUCUGAAUGAAGGGGGUUUUCAGUCAAUACCAAAUCCAGUUUUUCCAGGAGGAGCAAUUAUUGGAUGCUCUGCAGGCUAUCUAAAUGUGCCUAAAAUAAAAGGAACACAUACUGCCAUGAAAUCAGGUAUGCUGGCAGCAGAAGCAGCUUUUAAUGUUAUAGUUGCAGGAGCACAAAUGGAAAUGUAUUGGGACAGUUUGAAAAAGUCAUGGAUUUGGGAGGAGCUCUUCAGAUCCCGGAAUUAUCGACCAGCAUUUGAGUAUGGGCUUAUGCCUGGUUUGGCCUUUUCUGCACUGGAGCGCUAUGUUUUUAGAGGAAGAUUGCCUUUGACACUGAAGCAUGGAAAACCUGAUCAUGAAGCCACAGAUAUUGCCAGUGUGCAUACUCCGAUUCAGUAUCCAAGGCCAGACGGACAAGUAUCCUUUGAUGUGCCAACUUCACUGUACAGGAGUAACACAAAUCACGAACAUGAUCAGCCUGUUCAUCUUCGUCUGAGGGAUCCUGCAAUACCUGAACGAGUAAAUCUACCACUAUAUGCUGGACCAGAGUCGCGCUAUUGCCCAGCUCGUGUAUAUGAGUAAGAUUGUAUGUCCCUGAUGACAAACAUGGUCUGAAGCUCCACAUCAAUGCUCAAAAUUGCCUUCAUUGUAAGGCCUGUGAUAUUAAGGAUCCGAAGCAAAACAUAGAGUGGACAGUGCCUGAAGGCGGUGGUGGUCCUGGGUAUACAACCAUGUAGAGUUCAUUAAAAUUGUAGCAUGAAUAAGUUCCUUUUUGUAUUAACCUAAGUCCAAUUAGGGCCCAUGUGAUAAUGCUUUUUGUUUUCAAAAAAAAAAAGAAACUGAAGAAUAAAAACGUACUGGACCGGGCAACCCAUAUGAUGAAACUCCUUUGUUUUUUAAACUUUUUGCAAAAUCCUAGUAACUUUGGGAGCAG